GACAGAGGGUGCAAACGUUGUUCGGAUUUACUGGGCGUAAAGCGCGUGUAGGCGGCUUUGCAAGUCGGAUGUGAAAGCCCACGGCUCAACCGUGGAAGUGCAUCCGAAACUGCAUGGCUGGAGUCUCGGAGAGGAAGGUGGAAUGCUUGGUGUAGAGGUGAAAUUCGUAGAUAUCAAGCAGAACACCUGCGGCGAAGGCGGCCUUCUGGACGAUGACUGACGCUGAGACGC
rnacentral:rRNA from 1 species